rnacentral:lncRNA from 1 species
AUUGAAUAAUAAAUAAAAUAGAAUAAAAAGUUGGGAUUUCAGAAGGCCAGUGUUUAGACAAAAGUAGUGGAUUUCCUUGUGCUGUAGUAUAGCCUCUGUGCCAGUGCAGAACUGUUUUCUUGAAGUUCCUUUCUACCUAUUGUGGCAUUAGAAUGUGUGACAAUAGAAUGGAGCAAUGCCCUGAUUCACAGUCUCCAAGCCACUGGCCUUGAUCUCUCAUCUGAGAGAUGAGAGCCUUCCAUCUGCAUGGACUCAGCCUUUAGCAAACCAUAAACAGGACCGUGCUUGAAUCCCAUUGCAUAUAUGGUCAAGAUGUUUGCCCUGAAAAGCACAGAAGAGCUGGAAGCAAGCAGAUAAAAUUAAACCUGGUGGCCAAGGAGCAAGGCUGCCAGUGUGGGAAAAAGGCCUGAGCUACCCCCUGCCCUCAGUCUCCACUGCAAAGUGGUUGAUGACCUGCUUCCCCACAGGUGCUACGUGAAUGGCAUGAAAUACAUGAAUACAUGUCAGCUGUGUGUUACGUUUGAGAAUGUUGGUUCUGGUACUUUAAAACUGAUGUAUGGAAAAUGCAGUCUUCAUCUUCUGUAGCUCCCUGUUAGGCUUUACAAUCAUAGGUUUGUUUUGAAAAACAGCCUAUUUACUGACUUAUUUUGUGACUUUUUAACUUAUUUAUUCUAAUUAAGUGCUGUGGAAAGAAAAGUUCUGUUUAAAAAUGAUUUCAAAAUUGCUUGCGUACCACUGGUAGAAUUUUGUACAUAAAAGAGCACCUUUAGAAAAAGCAAAAGCAAAACCCAACCUAAAUCCAUCUCCAAAGCUCCAAAUGAUGACAGGGAAGGUCUGUGGAUCAUGAAUAUGUUGCAAACUGAGAACUGUGUGUUAACUCUGUCUGGGUUAGUUCUGAGCUGAGCACUGUAUUUGUGCUUCCCAACAGGUCCCCU